rnacentral:rRNA from 1 species
UACGGGGGGGGGCAAGCGUUGUUCGGAAUUACUGGGCGUAAAGGGCUCGUAGGCGGCCAACUAAGUCAGACGUGAAAUCCCUCGGCUUAACCGGGGAACGGCGUCUGAUACUGGAUGGCUUGAAUCCGGGAGAGGGAUGCGGAAUUCCAGGUGUAGCGGUGAAAUGCGUAGAUAUCUGGAGGAACACCGGUGGCGAAGGCGGCAUCCUGGACCGGCAUUGACGCUGAGGAGCGAAAGCCAGGGGAGCAAAGC